UCAGAUUGAACGCUGGCGGAAUGCUUUACACAUGCAAGUCGAACGGCAGCACGGACUUCGGUCUGGUGGCGAGUGGCGAACGGGUGAGUAAUGUAUCGGAACGUGCCUAGUCGUGGGGGAUAACGUAGUGAAAAUUACGCUAAUACCGCAUACGAUCUAUGGAUGAAAGCGGGGGAUCGCAAGACCUCGCGCGAUUGGAGCGGCCGAUAUCAGAUUAGGUAGUUGGUGGGGUAAAGGCCCACCAAGCCAACGAUCUGUAGCUGGUCUGAGAGGACGACCAGCCACACUGGAACUGAGACACGGUCCAGACUCCUACGGGAGGCAGCAGUGGGGAAUUUUGGACAAUGGGCGAAAGCCUGAUCCAGCCAUUCCGCGUGCAGGAUGAAGGCCCUCGGGUUGUAAACUGCUUUUGUACAGAACGAAAAGGUUUCUACUAAUACUAGGAGCUCAUGACGGUACUGUAAGAAUAAGCACCGGCUAACUACGUGCCAGCAGCCGCGGUAAUACGUAGGGUGCAAGCGUUAAUCGGAAUUACUGGGCGUAAAGCGUGCGCAGGCGGUUAUAUAAGUCAGAUGUGAAAUCCCCGGGCUCAACCUGGGAACUGCAUUUGAGACUGUAUAGCUAGAGUACGGCAGAGGGGGAUGGAAUUCCGCGUGUAGCAGUGAAAUGCGUAGAUAUGCGGAGGAACACCGAUGGCGAAGGCAAUCCCCUGGGCCUGUACUGACGCUCAUGCACGAAAGCGUGGGGAGCAAACAGGAUUAGAUACCCUGGUAGUCCACGCCCUAAACGAUGUCAACUGGUUGUUGGGUCUUAACUGACUCAGUAACGAAGCUAACGCGUGAAGUUGACCGCCUGGGGAGUACGGCCGCAAGGUUGAAAC
rnacentral:rRNA from 1 species